rnacentral:rRNA from 1 species
AUUGAACGCUGGCGGCAUGCCUUACACAUGCAAGUCGAACGGUAACGGGCCUUCGGGUGCCGACGAGUGGCGAACGGGUGAGUAAUGCAUCGGAACGUACCUUUCAGUGGGGGAUAACGUAGCGAAAGUUACGCUAAUACCGCAUAUUCUGUGAGCAGGAAAGCAGGGGAUCGCAAGACCUUGCGCUGAUUGAGCGGCCGAUGUCAGAUUAGCUAGUUGGUGAGGUAAAGGCUCACCAAGGCGACGAUCUGUAGCGGGUCUGAGAGGAUGAUCCGCCACACUGGAACUGAGACACGGUCCAGACUCCUACGGGAGGCAGCAGUGGGGAAUUUUGGACAAUGGGGGGCAACCCUGAUCCAGCCAUGCCGCGUGAGUGAAGAAGGCCUUCGGGUUGU